UACGUAGGGGGCUAGCGUUGUCCGGAAUCAUUGGGCGUAAAGAGCGUGUAGGCGGCUUGGUAAGUCCGCUGUGAAAGUCCAGGGCUCAACCCUGGAAAGCCAGUGGAAACUGUCAAGCUAGAGUCCGGAAGAGGAGAGUGGAAUUCCCGGUGUAGCGGUGAAAUGCGCAGAUAUCGGGAAGAACACCCGUGGCGAAGGCGGCUCUCUGGGACGGUACUGACGCUGAGACGCGAAAGCGUGGGGAGCGAACAGG
rnacentral:rRNA from 1 species